rnacentral:rRNA from 1 species
UGGGGAAUAUUGCACAAUGGGCGCAAGCCUGAUGCAGCCAUGCCGCGUGUAUGAAGAAGGCCUUCGGGUUGUAAAGUACUUUCAGUCGGGAGGAAGGUGUCAAGGUUAAUAACCUUGGCAAUUGACGUUACCGACAGAAGAAGCACCGGCUAACUCCGUGCCAGCAGCCGCGGUAAUGCGGAGGGUGCAAGCGUUAAUCGGAAUUACUGGGCGUAAAGCGCACGCAGGCGGUCUGUCAAGUCGGAUGUGAAAUCCCCGGGCUCAACCUGGGAACUGCAUUCGAAACUGGCAGGCUAGAGUCUUGUAGAGGGGGGUAGAAUUCCAGGUGUAGCGGUGAAAUGCGUAGAGAUCUGGAGGAAUACCGGUGGCGAAGGCGGCCCCCUGGACAAAGACUGACGCUCAGGUGCGAAAGCGUGGGGAGCAAACAGG